AUUGAACGCUGGCGGCAGGCCUAACACAUGCAAGUCGAACGAGUGGCGGACGGGUGAGUAAUGUCUGGGAAACUGCCCGAUGGAGGGGGAUAACUACUGGAAACGGUAGCUAAUACCGCAUACCAUCGGAUGUGCCCAGAUGGGAUUCGCUAGUAGGUGGGGUAACGGCUCACCUAGGCGACGAUCCCUAGCUGGUCUGAGAGGAUGACCAGCCAAACUGACAAUAAACCACGGUCUAGACUCCUACGGGGGGCAUCAUUGGGGAAUAUUGCACAAUGGGCGCAAGCCUGAUGCAGCCAUGCCGCGUGUAUCAAGACGCCCUUCGGGUUGUAAAGUACUUUCAGCGAGGAGGCGUUACUCGCAGAAGAAGCACCGGCUAACUCCGUGCCAGCAGCCGCGGUAAUUC
rnacentral:rRNA from 1 species